rnacentral:rRNA from 2 species
UCUAAUACCGGAUAACACUGCGGAUCGCAUGGUCUGCGGUUAAAAGCUCCGGCGGUGAAGGAUGAGCCCGCGGCCUAUCAGCUUGUUGGUGAGGUAAUGGCUCACCAAGGCGACGACGGG